AGCGAACGCUGGCGGCAGGCUUAACACAUGCAAGUCGAGCGGGCGUAGCAAUACGUCAGCGGCAGACGGGUGAGUAACGCGUGGGAACAUACCUUUUGGUUCGGAACAACACAGGGAAACUUGUGCUAAUACCGGAUAAGCCCUUACGGGGAAAGAUUUAUCGCCGAAAGAUUGGCCCGCGUCUGAUUAGCUAGUUGGUGAGGUAACGGCUCACCAAGGCGACGAUCAGUAGCNGGUCUGAGAGGAUGAUCAGCCACAUUGGGACUGAGACACGGCCCAAACUCCUACGGGAGGCAGCAGUGGGGAAUAUUGGACAAUGGGCGCAAGCCUGAUCCAGCCAUGCCGCGUGAGUGAUGAAGGCCCUAGGGUUGUAAAGCUCUUUUGUGCGGGAAGAUAAUGACGGUACCGCAAGAAUAAGCCCCGGCUAACUUCGUGCCAGCAGCCGCAGU
rnacentral:rRNA from 1 species